UGAAAUAGCCUAGUUGCUUCGAUACAGCAGGAGCCGAAUGGCUGGAAGACCGUCACCACACAGUUCUACAUCCAGGAAUUCAGUGAGUAUAUUGCGCCACUGCAGGAUGCUGUAGAUCUGGAAAUCGCAACGGAGGAAGAAAGAUCGUUGCUGGAGGCAUGGAAUAAAUAUCGGGUGUUGUUGAAUCGUGUUGAUACAUCAAC
rnacentral:sRNA from 1 species